GGCGAACGCUGGCGGCGCGCCUAACACAUGCAAGUCGAGCGAGAACCAGGGCUUCGGCCCUGGGGACAGCGGCGAACGGGUGAGUAACACGUGGAUAACCUGCCCUCGGCACCGGAAUAGCCCGGGGAAACUCGGAUUAAUGCCGGAUGGCCCCACAUCCCUGCGGGGAACGUGGGAAAAGGUAGCUUCGGCCUCUGGCCGAGGAUGGGUCCGCGGUGGAUUAGCUUGUUGGUGGGGUAAUGGCCCACCAAGGCGACGAUCCAUAGCUGGUCUGAGAGGACGAUCAGCCACACUGGGACUGAGACACGGCCCAGACUCCUACGGGAGGCAGCAGUGGGGAAUCUUGCGCAAUGGGCGAAAGCCUGACGCAGCGACGCCGCGUGCGGGAAGAAGGCCUUCGGGUUGUAAACCGCUUUCAGGAGGGACGAAGCCACUCGGGUGAACAGCCCAGAGGGUGACGGUACCUCCAGAAGAAGCCCCGGCUAACUACGUGCCAGCAGCCGCCGUAA
rnacentral:rRNA from 1 species